rnacentral:rRNA from 1 species
AGAAAGUUGUGAAAGCAACCUGACGGUACCAGAGGAAUCAGCAUCGGCUAACUCCGUGCCAGCAGCCGCGGUAAGACGGAGGAUGCAAGCGUUAUCCGGAAUGAUUGGGCGUAAAGCGUCCGCAGGUGGCAGUUCAAGUCUGCUGUCAAAGACCGGGGCUUAACCCGGACGUCUGCGGUGGGUACGGGCGAGACUAGAGUGCAGUAGGGGAGGACUGGAAUUCCUGGUGUAGCGGUGGAAUGCGCAGAUAUCAGGAGGAACACCGAUGGCGAAGGCAGGUCUCUGGGCUGUAACUGACGCUGAGGAGCGAAAGCAUGGGGAGCGAACAGGAUUAG